rnacentral:rRNA from 1 species
CAGCCGCCGCGGUAAUACGGAGGGGGCUAGCGUUGUUCGGAAUUACUGGGCGUAAAGCGCACGUAGGCGGCUUGGUAAGUUAGAGGUGAAAGCCUGGAGCUCAACUCCAGAAUUGCCUUUAAGACUGCCGAGCUAGCAGGUGAGAGAGGUAAGUGGAAUUCCGAGUGUAGAGGUGAAAUUCGUAGAUAUUCGGAAGAACACCAGUGGCGAAGGCGGCUUACUGGCUCAUACUGGACGCUGAGGUGCGAAAGCGUGGGGAGCAAACAGGAUUAGAGACCCCUGUAGUCCCUGUCUCUUAUAC